rnacentral:rRNA from 1 species
GACGAACGCUGGCGGCGGGCUUAACACAUGCAAGUCGAACGGAGCGGCGAACGGGUGAGUAACACCUGGGUGAUUGGCCCUGCACGUCGGCAAAAGCUCGGGAAACGGGGUCUAAAACCGGAUAGUGUAGGAUGAGCUCGCGGCCUAUCAGCUUGAUGGGGGGGUAAUGGCCUACCAAGGCGGCGACGGGUAGCAGGCCUGCGAGGAUGUACGGCCAGUUCAGGAUUCAGCGACGGGCCAGAGUGCUGAGGGAGGGACAAUGGGCGAAAGUUGGACAAUGCGAGGCCGCCUGAUGGAGGGACGUCGCGUGGGUGAUGAGGGCUUUCAGGUUGUAAACUGCGUUCGCAAGGGACGCGGUACCUAGAUAAGAAGCACCGGCUAACUACGUGCCAGCAGUCGCGGUAAUUC